GCUGCACCAUAUGGGGACGGGGUGGAGCCAGGACUGGAUGUCAUGUCAGAGGAGGUGGAGCCCAUGUCCGAGCCACUUUGGCACCAAGGGCACCCGCUUCAGGUCGGAGUAGGAACCUGAUAUGGAGCCAUGCUCAACACCUACCUAAAGCUCAGGUAAUGAUCUGUUCCAGUUUUCCCUGUCUUGGGACCUUUCAGCCCUGCCCUCAAGGAUGCAUCCUGCACAGAAAAACGGAGUUGGCCUAAGCUGAUAGUGACAGUGACACGACUGAAGCUGGAGAACCACAUUGUCUUCUCAUCUCGCAUGUCUUCCUGGUGCCAGCCUAGGAUGGUGUCGGUAUCUGAUCUGGGCACGCUUCUGCCAGGUGUGAAAUCUGAGAACCCACCUCCUUCCUGCCCAGCGUCAUCUUCAGGCUGUGAACCUGAGAACACCUGAGGACACAGCUCUAAAUCUUGGUGGUUCUAUGACUGCAUGAAUAGCUCAGUUCAAAGCAGGGAGCUGGAUCGGAAGUGGAGCAGCCUGACUUGGACUCACACCCAUGCGGGAUACCAGCAUUGCAGUUGAUGGCUUAACCCACCUACCACAAUGCCGUAGAGAAUAGAGAAGGGAAAUAAGCAAAAGGCAUGUGACAGUCGAGGCUCAGCCACACUGAAGCCAGAAGCCCAGAACUCAGUCUGGUCUCCUUUGUGGGUUGCAGCGGCGCAUGUUUGGAC